rnacentral:rRNA from 1 species
UACGAAGGGGGGCUAGCGUUGCUCGGAAUCACUGGGCGUAAAAGGGCGCGUAGGCGGACUUUUUAAGUCAGGGGUGAAAUCCUGAGGCUCAACCUUAGAACUGCCUUUGAUACUGAGGGUCUCGAGACCGGUAGAGGUAAGUGGAACUGCGAGUGUAGAGGUGAAAUUCGUAGAUAUUCGCAAGAACACCAGUGGCGAAGGCGGCUUACUGGACCGGUUCUGACGCUGAGGCGCGAAAGCGUGGGGAGCAAACAGG